UNUGACUUGAGUGCAGAAGGGGAGAGUGGAAUUCCAUGUGUAGCGGUGAAAUGCGUAGAUAUAUGGAGGAACACCAGUGGCGAAAGCGGCUCUCUGGUCUGUCACUGACGCUGAGGCUCGAAAGCGUGGGUAGCGAACAGGAUUAGAUACCCUGGUAGUNCACGCCGUAAACGAUGAGUGCUAGGUGUUAGGCCCUUUCCGGGGCUUAGUGCCGGAGCUAACGCAAUAAGCACUCCGCCUGGGGAGUACGACCGCAAGGUUGAAACUCAAAGGAAUUGACGGGGGCCCGCACAAGCGGUGGAGCAUGUGGUUUAAUUCGAAGCAACGCGAAGAACCUUACCAGGUCUUGACAUCCCGAUGCUAUUCUUAGAGAUAGGAAGUUACUUCGGUACAUCGGAGACAGGUGGUGCAUGGUUGUCGUCAGCUCGUGUCGUGAGAUGUUGGGUUAAGUCCCGCAACGAGCGCAACCCUUAUUGUUAGUUGCCAUCAUUAAGUUGGGCACUCUAGCGAGACUGCCGGUAAUAAACCGGAGGAAGGUGGGGAUGACGUCAAAUCAUCAUGCCCCUUAUGACCUGGGCUACACACGUGCUACAAUGGUCGGUACAACGAGUUGCGAGCCGGUGACGGCAAGCUAAUCUCUGAAAGCCGAUCUCAGUUCGGAUUGGAGGCUGCAACUCGCCUCCAUGAAGUCGGAAUCGCUAGUAAUCGCGGAUCAGCACGCCGCGGUGAAUACGUUCCCGGGCCUUGUAC
rnacentral:rRNA from 1 species